GACGAACGCUGGCGGCGUGCUUAACACAUGCAAGUCGAGCGAUGAAGCUCCUUCGGGAGUGGAUUAGCGGCGGACGGGUGAGUAACACGUGGGCAACCUGCCUUAUAGAGAGGAAUAGCCAUCCGAAAGGAUGAUUAAUACCUCAUAAUAUUGUAGCUUCGCAUGGAGCAACAAUCAAAGGAGCAAUCCCCUAGAAGAUGGGCCCGCGGCGCAUUAGCUAGUUGGGGAGGUAACGGCACACCAAGGCGACGAUGAGUAGCCGACCUGAGAGGGUGAUCGGCUGAAUGGGGACUGGGACACAGCCCAGACUCGGACGGGAGGCAGCAGUGGGGAAGAUUGCACAAUGGGGGAAACCCUUAUGCAGCAACGGCGCGAGAGUGCUGACGGCCUUCGAGUUGUAAAGCACUUGCUUGAGGGACGAGAAUAACGGUACCUGAGGAGGAAGCCACGGCUAACUACGUGCCAGCCGCCGCAGUAAGAC
rnacentral:rRNA from 1 species